UACGGGGGGUGCAAGCGUUAUCCGGAUUUACUGGGCUUAAAGGGUGCGUAGGUGGAUUUGUAAGUCAGUGGUGAAAUCUCCGAGCUUAACUCGGAAACUGCCAUUGAUACUAUAAGUCUUGAAUUAUCUGGAGGUAAGCGGAAUAUGUCAUGUAGCGGUGAAAUGCUUAGAUAUGACAUAGAACACCAAUUGCGAAGGCAGCUUACUAGGGGUAUAUUGACACUGAGGCGCGAAAGCGUGGGGAUCAAACAGG
rnacentral:rRNA from 1 species